CUAGCAUCACCGCCUAGGUUAGCAGCUAACGAAAGAGCUAGCCAUCCAGCCAGCUGGUCGGCUCACUGUGUGUGAGUCAUAUCGUGGAGCUGGUGGAGGCUCUGACCGUCAGGUAACCUGGUAACCCACUGAUCUGCUGAUGUCACUGCUCUCCAUAAUGAAGUGUGAGUGUAUCCAGCCGCCUUUGUCAAUAAGCAGGAGGGUAAAUUCACAGGAGAUAAGCCGGACAAUGAAGGCCAUGGCUGGUUUAAGCUGAUUAGGAGACACUGAAUUUCUCGCAAACAGGAAAGUGUAGUGAGACAGUGCAGGAGAAUGACACAGAGGAAGCAGCCCGGCAGACACUCAAACCCAGAGCUAGCUGCAUCUUCACAUAAGGAUCUACGAACACAGCAUGGAGGAAAGUCACUCGGAGCACCUAUAAACUGUAUUUCUUCAUGCAGAUGCAUGAUACCUGCAUAAAAUACCUGAGAAGAAUUAAUGGGGUAAAAUAAUAAGGUAAGCAGGAAUCAAGAAACAUGAAUAUUGUAACAGCUGUAACAGUAUUGAUGCAAUCAUGUCUGAAUUGGAUCAAUAAAGAAAUUUUAGAUAAUCAUCCUUUUAGUUAAGAUAAUCCGUUACGGCUUUCUUUAAAUAAAUAUACAGCUAGAUGUUUAAAUUAAACAUGGUCAGCACUUAAGCAUUACUGCUCAAACCUGUUUAAGAAGACAGUUUGUUUAAAGGGGGAGGAGCUAAAAAAUUAUGAUAAGAUGCAUUAGACCUCAGUGUAAGAUAAACGAAGCUGCUGUAGUCGAGUACAGCUCCCACAAUAUGAAGAUGGAAAUGACUAAACUUCUCCCAUCUUCAGUGUUUCUGUAGUUACUGCUGUCAACCACUGUGAGGCAGUGUUGUCUUCUGUUACACCUCCAGUGAUCACCCGUUGGUUUAAUGGAGAGCAAAUGUGUUCUUGGAUUUGCUGUAAAUUAGCACGCUGGAGCGUUUUUGAAAAGUUACAUUUUUGAUUAAGAUCCCGUUUCAGUCUGACCUG